rnacentral:rRNA from 1 species
GAUGAACGCUAGCGGCAGGCCUAAUACAUGCAAGUCGAACGGUCCGCUUCUGCGGAUAGUGGCGCACGGGUGCGUAACACGUAUGCAACCUACCUUACAUUGGGGGAUAGCCUUUCGAAAGGGAGAUUAAUACCGCAUAAGACAGUAGCUGGGCAUCCAGCAGCUGUUAACGAUUUAUCGAUGUAAGCUGGGCAUGCGUCCAAUUAGCUAGUUGGUGAGGUAACGGCUCACCAAGGCAAUGAUUGGUAGGGGAACUGAGAGGUCAAUCCCCCGCACUGGCAAUGAGAUACGGGCCAGACUCCUACGGGAGGCAGCAGUAGGAAAUAUUGGGCAAUGGACGCAAGUCUGACCCAGCCAUGACGCGUGCAGGAUGAAGGCGUUAUGCGUUGUAAACUGCUUUUAUACAGGAAGAAACGACUCUUGCGAGAGGCAUUGACGGUACUGUAUGAAUAAGCACCGGCUAACUCCGUGCCAGCAGCCGCAGUAACAC